rnacentral:piRNA from 1 species
UAAGCAGCAAGACAAAGAGAAGCUUGGAUGA